CCUACGGGUGGCAGCAGUGAGGAAUAUUGGUCAAUGGCCGGAAGGCUGAACCAGCCAUGCCGCGUGAAGGUCAGUGCCCUAUGGGCGUUAAACUUCUUUUGUGCGGGAGCAAUAAUGGUCACGUGUGGCCAGACGAGAGUACCGUACGAAUAAGCAUCGGCUAACUCCGUGCCAGCAGCCGCGGUAAUACGGGGGAUGCAAGCGUUAUCCGGAUUUAUUGGGUUUAAAGGGUGCGUAGGCUGUGAGGUAAGUCAGCGGUGAAAUGCCCCCGCUCAACGGGGUGAAGUGCCAUUGAUACUGCGAUACUAGAGUAAUGGAGGGGGAACCGGAAUUCUCGGUGUAGCAGUGAAAUGCGUAGAUAUCGAGAGGAACACUCGUGGCGAAGGCGGGUUCCUGGACAUUAACUGACGCUGAGGCACGAAGGCCAGGGGAGCGAAAGGGAUUAGAUACCCGAGUAGUC
rnacentral:rRNA from 1 species